UCAUUGUUACCAUUGUGACAAAACUGGAAAUUCAGCAAAAGAAGGCUGGUAUUAGGAUUAAGACUGCUGAAGCUGUGGCAAAAAGGGACAUAUUGAACACACCUGUAAAAGCAAAAAGACACCGUCAACCAAAAACACUAUAAUAAAGAAAAAAGACUUUUGGAAAAACAAAAAAAAAUGUGUGAACAAGGUGGAGCACACUGAGGACAGACAAAGUCUGUGAUUGACAAGACUCUUCAUGCCUUAUCUGUUUCAGGACACAAAGACAGCAACUGGGUGCCCUUGCAGUUGGAUGGAGCCAUGGUGAGGAUGCAGGCAGACACGGGAUUGGCUGGAGGACUGACAUUUAACAAGACCAAUCUGUGUCAAGCAUACUUGCAUGUGCAUGUGGAGCAGGAGUCACAGGAACUAUUGACCAUCGUGACUUGCAGAGGAAAGUUCAGGUACCAAAGGCAAUCAUUUGGCAUCACCUCGGUUCCUGCACAUUUUCACUGAGCAAUGAACCAGGUCUUGAUCAAGCUGACAGGGGUACAAUGCUGGGAAAAAUGAGCUUGAGCACCUACAAAACUUGGAUAUUGAACUAUCAAGACUCAAAGAACAGGGGCUAAGGCUCCAGAAGGACAAGUUCUUGGUCAUAGUGGACACACAUAGUAAGUGGCCUGAAGUUGCCAUCAUGAAGUGCAUUCCAUCUGAAAAAUGCAUUGAAGAACUACAUUCCAGUUUAGCUGUGUUGGGCUUCCUCUAAAGCUUGUAAGUGACAAUGGCCCACAACUCCUGUCUGAAGAGUUCAAGGCAUUUAUGGAAGCAAACAUUCAUCAACACAUCAAAUGCUGCUUGACCUAUUGAGAUCUUCCAGCGCCUUAUUUGUUGCACAUAGUUGUGCAAUGGACAUUCACUGUUCAGAGCCAAGGGAGCCUUUUUGGCAAGCUCAGCUUUCUAAACAUAGCAGCUGACACUUCUAGAGAUCAAAGUGUUAUUUCUGAAUAUGUUAAACUUCCAGCCAAUACUCUUUGUUUAGCUUCUCAUCAUAAAUGGGGGCCAGUCUUCAGUUCUUAAUGUAAAUUGCAAUCAAUAGCCAUUCCGAAGUUAAAAGUGCAGCUUGGGAACAGCACUGUCUAUAGUACACAGAUUGUUUGCCCUGCAGCAUCAGGCUAAUUUCUCAAGAGAUGCAGGUUAAGCUAUGUUAUGUUAAUUAGGCUUGUUUCUAACCAGACAUCACUGUUUAUUUUGUUCAAGAAAGCUUGCAGACCAGAUGAUACUAUCACUUAAAACAUCAAAUAGCUAAAUUAUUAAUAGUUGGAAGAUUUGUGUACUCCUAGAAUCAGCUUCACAGCAUUAAUUAUUGGUAUCUGGGAACCUUUUAGACUACCUAUGUGAAAAUGUAUCUGAAAAAAUAUCAUAUGCAUGUGAAGUCCCCCAAGAGGGAGAGAAACAGUAUAAAUGUAACAAAGCAGUCAGCCUUCUUGGGAAUGGUCCAAGAACAUAAAGAAGAAUGACAGACAGAGGUGUGAACUAGAAUCUAUUCCUUUGCCUUCGAUUUAUGCAAUGGAUGAUUUGCUUGUCUGCAACUGUUUGAUAUGUCUUUUUAACUUAUAGGGA